rnacentral:rRNA from 1 species
AUGGGAGAUAAAAAUAAAGAUAAGAUGGGAGAUGCCAGUGUAGACAAAUUAUGUGAGAGUAUGCAAAAGUUAUUUGCCCAGCUUGUUGAGCAAUCCCAGCAAAAAUCUAAAGGAACCAUCACUUUGGAGCCUACCCCGGUCAGGCUUUCUGGACCUGGAAACUAUUUCAGUUGGUCACGGCAUGCUACUCUGAUUCUAGGAUCUCAUGGCCUCAAAUAUUUUUUGGACGGCACUUCUGUGAAACCAGAUGAUAAAUUGGAGUUGGAGCAAUGGGAACCGAAUGAGCAGCGUGUUAUGGUGUGGUUGUUGGGGUCGAUGGAGCCUUCGGUUCAUGAGCAGGUUGAGAACCUGCAAACUACAGCAGAAGUGUGGAAGGAAAUUGGACAGCAACUCUCUGGCAAAACAAACAAGAUGCAAGUGACAAGGGUGCUCCAUGAGAUGACAAACUUAAACAAGGAGAGAGGUCUAUAA